rnacentral:rRNA from 1 species
AGUGAACGCUGGCGGUAGGCCUAACACAUGCAAGUCGAACGGCAGCACAGUAAGAGCUUGCUCUUACGGGUGGCGAGUGACGGGCGGGUGACGCGUACAUCGGAAUCUACUUUUUCGUGGGGGAUAACGUAGGGAAACUUACGCUAAUACCGCAUACGACCUACGGGUGAAAGCAGGAGAUCUUCGGACCUUGCCCGAUUGAUUGAGCCGAUGUCGGAUUAGCUAGUUGGCGGGGUAAGGGCCCACCAAGGCGACGAUCCGUAGCUGGUCUGAGAGGAUGAUCAGCCACACUGGAACUGAGACACGGUCCAGACUCCUACGGGAGGCAGCAGUGGGGAAUAUUGGACAAUGGGCGCAAGCCUGAUCCAGCCAUACCGCGUGGGUGAAGAAGGCCUUCGGGUUGUAAAGCCCUUUUGUUGGGAAAGAAAAGCAGCAGGUUAAUACCCCGCUGUUCUGACGGUACCCAAAGAAUAAGCACCGGCUAACUUCGUG